rnacentral:rRNA from 1 species
GAUGAACGCUGGCGGCGUGCCUAAUACAUGCCAGUCGAGCGAACGGACGAGAAGCUUGCUUCUCUGAUGUUAGCGGCGGACGGGUGAGUCACACGUGGAUAACCUACCUAUCAGACUGGGAUAACUUCGGGAAACCGGAGCUAAUACCGGAUAAUCUUUUGAACCGCAUGGUUCAAAAGUGAAAGACGGUCUUGCUGUCACUUAUAGAUGGAUCCGCGCUGCAUUAGCUAGUUGGGAAGGUUACGGGUUACGAAGGGAAGUAUGCAUAGACGAGCGCAGAGGGGGGUAGGCCGCACUGGAGCUGGAACGCGGUCCAGGGUACUGCGGGAGGCAGCAGUAGGGAAUCGGACGCAGUAGUCGAGAGCCUUGCGGAGCAGCGCCGCGUGAGUGAUGAAGGUCUUCGGAUCGUAAAACUCUCUUAUGAGUGAAAAACAUAUGUGUAAGUAACUGUGCACAGCGUGACGGUACCUAAUCAGAAAGCCACGGCUAACUACGUG